rnacentral:rRNA from 1 species
GAAUAUUGGACAAUGGGCGAAAGCCUGAUCCAGCAAUGCCGCGUGAGUGAUGAAGGCCCUCGGGUCGUAAAGCUCUUUUACCAGGGAUGAUAAUGACAGUACCUGGAGAAUAAGCACCGGCUAAUUCCGUGCCAGCAGCCGCGGUAAUACGGAAGGUGCGAGCGUUAAUCGGAAUUACUGGGCGUAAAGCGCACGUAGGUGGCUACUUAAGUCGGAUGUGAAAGCCCUGGGCUUAACCUGGGAAUUGCAUCCGAUACUGGGUGGCUAGAGUACGGUAGAGGGAGGUGGAAUUCCAGGUGUAGCGGUGAAAUGCGUAGAGAUCUGGAGGAACACCGGUGGCGAAGGCGGCCUCCUGGACUGAUACUGACACUGAGGUGCGAAAGCGUGGGGAGCAAACAGG